rnacentral:rRNA from 1 species
UCAGCAGGCCGCGGUAAUACGUAGGGUGCAAGCGUUAAUCGGAAUUACUGGGCGUAAAGCGUGCGCAGGCGGUUAUAUAAGUCAGAUGUGAAAUCCCCGGGCUCAACCUGGGAACUGCAUUUGAGACUGUAUAGCUAGAGUACGGUAGAGGGGGAUGGAAUUCCGCGUGUAGCAGUGAAAUGCGUAGAUAUGCGGAGGAACACCGAUGGCGAAGGCAAUCCCCUGGACCUGUACUGACGCUCAUGCACGAAAGCGUGGGGAGCAAACAGGAUUAGAUACCCUGGUAGUCCACGCCCUAAACGAUGUCAACUGGUUGUUGGGUCUUAACUGACUCAGUAACGAAGCUAACGCGUGAAGUUGACCGCCUGGGGAGUACGGCCGCAAGGUUGAAACUCAAAGGA